CCACGGACAUCUUAAAACCAAGAUAAGAUAAAUCCGUUCAGCCGCUCUCGAGUUUUAGCGAGACUAACGAACGAUUUUUAUAUAUAAGAUAAGCGAAGGAACCGGGUCUCUUCACUCAGAACUGUCAUCUUUUAGAAAGCGUGAAUAGAAGCGACAAAAUUGAAAUUUUGUCACACUUGUUGAUUGUUAUUAAAAAUUUUGAAUUUUCAAUCAAAUGUUGCUAUUUGAUCAAUGAAAUGGCUAAUUAGUAUAGAAAAUCUGAAAUCGGAAUCUGAGAAUGUGGUUUUUUUUGUGAAUGCCACUUAAAAAUCUAAUUGAAGAGAACGAUUUGAACGAAUACCAUUGAAUUGCCAAUAUCUCGAAAACCAUCAACUUUUUACUAAGAUGAUUUAAUGUUUUUCUGGAUCCUUAGAUCAUCUGUCUUACCCGAAAUGAUUGCAGUAAUAACUUCCUUCGGACAAUUAUGCAAGGUAUUCCACAGAAAAAGCAUUUCAUAAACAAAGAACUUCCAAUACUGCACGUCGAACAUGUUUCGGUCACUAUCCGAGGAUGGUAACUUAUCGAUUCGCCUCAAGAUGAAUUUGUUAAUUUGGGUUUCCUGUAUUGAAGACAGUCAUUUAGAUACUUGCA